rnacentral:lncRNA from 1 species
CCCGGGAAUGCCUUGAUGCCUGAGACUUUAAUUUCUUCUGGUUUCCUUUGCAGGAGCUGCAGGUAUUCGUGAGCCGGGCUGCCCUGCAGCAACUAUUUUCAAGGCAAUAACUUGGAUGGGAUGGAGGGGCGAGAAGAGGGGUCUUUGGUCAUAGCCACAGAAGGCUGACUUUCACAGGAGACAAACAGAACACCAGCUAGCUGUCCCUUGAACAAAUGAGAGUUGAUCUGAAGACAUGGCAGGAGGAGGUGCGGCUGCCAGCUUCCUGCAGAGCUCAGUUUUGUCCCAGAUGCAGGCUCUGUUUUCCAGCCUCCACCAUCACAUGCACUUGGGGAGCUUCCUUGGUCCCUUUAUCCUCAGCCCUGGUCUCCCAGCCUUCGGCCACCUGAUGGAGUCCCCACCUCUGAGAAGCAUACCUACUGUACCCCUCGGGGUCCUGUGCAUGCAGCACAGUAUUAAAGUGUAUGUUGGCUCUCAAAAUUGUGUCCCUGGGGAACAUCUUCUAGUCAAUUUCAAAGCGGAUGUAAAAGCUCAGAGAAGACGUAGCCCAGAGUGUGAGAGAACAUUCCCAAAGUCCGCUGGGGAGUGGCUUUGUGAGCCCAGAGACUGGACAUGAGCCGAAGGGAUGGGGGAGUGCUGGGCAGGGCUCCAGGACACAUCCUCCAGCCAGGUGAGAGUGUGGAAAGGCUCACUGCAGAAUCCAGCUUGGGUGG